CGGGGUUUGUGCUUGUCUGUGCAGCGCCGAGCACCUGGCUGGCCCUGCGCAGUGCUAUGGCUUUCCUGAGCGUGGCCUGGCAGUUCCUYGGGGCUGUAGAGCCCUGCUGUGGGCUAGUAGCAGGCCAGGGUUCUCCAGGCCCUAGUGCCUUGGUGGUCCCAGUGCUGUUGCUGGGCCUGAGGGCCUGUCCUGGCCGGGCACCCUGGCCACCUCCCUGCAGGARCAGGCCCUUCUCUGCUGUGUGCCUCAGGCACCUGCCCAGGCACGCUUCAGAUCUGUCUCACUGUUGGCUGCAGAUGGCCGCUGAGGUGUUUGGGUGGUGGCACUGUGAGUGGUGGCCCAGCCCAUGGUGGCAGAGCUGUUACUGCUGCCUUGACCUGCUCACAGYAAGGGUAGAGCCUGGCAGCGCCUCUUCUGCUAUGUCCUGUGGUGCAGAGGCUGUGCUACAGCUGUGCAAGAUGUGAUAACAAACCGAUGGGCAGGUGUGGYUAUAAGACAAACUAUGUGUGCUCUUGAUGACUGGUAAGGAUACUGGAUUCUUGUGGCACUUCCUUUUCCCUCUCUUGGCCUUCUGCUUGCAGCCAUUAUCUCAAAAGUUGCAGCAACAUAAUAACAGAUUUAUCUCUGUCUUAGUCAAAAACUUUUUCCUCACAAAUAUUAGUUUGACAGACUUCAAGGGAGAAUUUCAGGUAUUUUUGAAGUGUUUGGUUUUUUUUUGUUCUUUAGCUGCUCUUUUACCCCAAGUAAACUGGUCGUAUAUUAAAAAAACAAAACAAAAAAACAACAACAAAAACCCACUGAAUCAUCCAGGAGUCUUACAUCCUGAUAAAAUGUUUAGACCAGUGAAACUAUGCCAGGCAGAAAUUAUGCAAGUUCUCUGGAGCCACUUUGUCAAUCAGGUGACUGCUUGAGUAAUUGAGAAUAUUUCAAGGUAGUUGUUUUCCAGGUGUAACAGAGAAAAGUGCUGUGCUGGUUACUACAUAAAGUGCAAUUGUCUUUACUCUUAUACAGAUCUACUUUGGGCUACUGAGAUGCUGUUUCCUUGAUCUAGGUUACUAAUUAAAGCCCUUAUAACACUGGAAAGUAUUCCAUCAGGACUGGGGGCUUCUGGAGCUUUGUCUACUUCAUUAGCUGAGGGGGGGUUAUCAACAGAUGACAAGCGGUUCCUACUCGGUCAUUGAAGGCUGCAUAAGUAUGUAUAAAGAGCAGCUCAACAAAAAGAAUAUGUUCUACCUGUGUGCUAGCAGUUUGUUUCUUUCACAAAAGCAGGGUGCACCUAUCAAAGCUACAAAGGAGAGUUAAUCCACUGAUGUUGGGACCAUGCAUGCACAGCUUUUAUCUUUUUGUAAAAGCACUUGAUGGUCUGUAUGCCAGUAAAGACCGGAUCUCCUAUUCUUAGACUUCCRCCAUGCAACCUUCACUUCUUGUGGGUGUGUCUGGGUUUUAAGGUUGUACAUAAGACUUAAAAUGUUCCUGGAGCUUUGAUGUGUCAUUGAGAAGUCUAAUGUGUGAGGUGUGUAUUAGAGAGCAGCUAUUUGAUCUUGCUUUUAUCUGCAUCAGGCUGGCCUUGAUGCUUAAUUUGACAUAGCUGCUGAUUCAGGUGAAGCAAACAAGGCUCUUUAAGACCUGACCAUUAUACCUUUAUGCUGCAGCCUUUAAAAUUGGCCAGCUUAGUUUGGAGUUGUACUUAUGCUUUGAAACUAGCAACUGUGAUGGCCUUCCUUAAUAUGUUGACAUCAAGCUGCUGAACAGCAUGCCAGGGUGCGUAUGCAGUGAGUAAGGAUGGAUAGUUUAGAACUCAAAAGUCAAAGAUCAGCGGUCAGCUCACACAAAGCCCAGUUUAUACAAAGAUUGUUUAAAUCUCUGUCCAAUGGUAAGAAAAUCAAUCGUGAUGCUGCUAGGAGCUAAGGUGUCCAAGCUACAAAACUGUUUUUCCUUGUUGUGUGACUGGUGGAAAAUAGACCUUCAUAACUAAUACUGUUUCACAGAUAAUCAGUUUAUGGAUCAGUUGGAGAUGUACCAGUGACAUGUAUCAGUGCUGCCUGUCAUUGAAAACUUAGUGUCCAUCUCUGAAGUGAUAAAGAUGUUUAGAUAUUACAGUAAAAUCUGCCUGCCAAAGGAGAAAUGGAAGAUGCAUUCUCACAUGAACACAGAUCAGUGUGAUACCACAGGGUCUUCUGAUUUUACAAUUUUUGUUGCAUAGCUUCCCUCCAUCUUGUUUUUACAGUGAAUAUAAUGACCUUUUAGCUCUGCUUUUGUAUGAUUUCUCUUUACAGUUCUUAUGUGUGCUUGAGUCAUUAUUAUUGCAUAUGCUGUCACGUCUGCUGCGUUUUCACAGAUGAUGUAUAAUCUCCUUAUCAGUAACUAUCCCCUCAUCUUGGUUAUAUUACUGGAAGCAACAACAUCUCUAGCACAAAGGAAAACAGUUUCUGUAGUACAUGCAAAAUAAAAUACUUACAAUUAUUUCA
ensembl:lncRNA